AGCUUACUCAAUGAGGCUGUUUUUCCCCCCUGGCAAUGUGUUGGUGAACCCUUAAAAAGGGGGGGGUAGAUCACUGCGACUUUUUAAUUCUGUAAGUAGAUCACAGUCUCUUGGGAGUUGGCCACCCCUGCCAUAUUUGAAAGGAUCAAUUACAGAAAUAGAGACACAACACUUAGGCUAAUAACUGUUAAAUCAUAUAUAAUAGAAUAAUGAUAUUCAAAAGAUAGAAAUAAAUCUAUUGGAGUUCAUAUAUACAAUGUAACAGACUAGUGGCGCACAACGUCAAGCCAUGUGUUCUACAUUCUGAUACGACAGUGAGCACUGAUCAAUAGCAUGAAUCUUACUUACAUAUUUUGUGAAAACUAUUGGCUGAUGACGACUAUACAGUUUAACAAUUAACAAUUCAAAACAUUCCAAAAAUUAUUAUUAUUAUUGUAUAUAAUUUUUAUUAGUUUUCCAUUUAAUAAUAUGCAUUCAUAUCAUUGUUAUCCCCUUUACCUCCAUGGCUCUUUAGAGCCCCCCAACUUCCUUCCCUCCCGCCUCAUGGCUUUCAAAAUCAACCUUUUUAUCAUUGCAUUUUAUACAUUUUCCAAUUCUAAUUUCACUGAUUACGAAAAAAACAUUAAAAUUUAAGUUAGAAUAAAAAGAGAGAAAGUUUCUCAUGACAAGUCUUCAGACAACCCUGCUAGUGUUGUUAAUAAAACAUUCCAAAAAUUAAAAUCAACAAUAAGCUAAAAACAGAUGAAUGCACACACCAACAAUCUAAAUAUAUGGGUGGGCUUGUCUAAACAAAAAUGCUUUUAGCAGGUGCCAAAGAGAAUGCAGUGAAUCUCAAACCACAGGGUGUAGGCAAACUCUCUUAAAUCUCCAUAUACAUUUAGAUUUAAGCAAAGAAAUAUUUUUUGAAAAAGAUUGAAGCAAAAUAGUCACAGCUUCUUGCUAUGUAGGGCCCCUUCUGCCUUUUAAGUGAAAAUAAGUUUUCCCCCUCCCUUCGUCCAUUUGUACACACACCUCAUUUACACAAGUCUUCCGUUCACUUUAAUGGUGCUCAACUCUACUCCUCCUGCAUUUCCCCUAUUCCCCUAAGCAGCUGUGGACCAUAGUUACCCAAGAGUAGUUAUUGAUUUUGGAGGGCGGGGGGUAUUGAUCAUUCUGGGGGGAAACGUCUCAGAAAAUAUCAAUGCAGGAUUUCCAGGCAGGAAAACAACAGUUGACAAUAUGUCUGCAAUUACUAUCUGGUUCGUGUUUGGUACCUGACACAUGUUAGCAGCCUUGGAAGUGAUCAGAGAAAGAAAGAAGUCUUGCAACAAAUAGCUUGCAGUCUAACAAGGGAACCUCAGCAAGCAUUUCAAAAUGUAGACUUCGCAAUCAAUGGGCAACAAUAAAUACAGGUAGCUGAUGGAAAUGGGGUGUUUCCAGAUCACCUGUUUGUUGAGCAUUCAUUCUGAUUUCUUUUUCCAGGGAGAUUUGAUGAUGUUGGCUACAUAGUGAGUAUUAAUUUGGAUUUAUUUCUGAGCAGCUUAGUUGAUGAUGCAUCAAAAGCUCUACGUGGGCCUGCCCUUGAAGCUGUCCCAGAAACUCCAGCGGGUGCAGAAUGCAGCAGCGAGGCUCCUCACUGGGUCUCUGCCAUGGGUGCAGUGGUUUUCCAGCUGCACUGGCUCCCGGUGGAGUACAGGGUCAGAUUUAAGGUGCUGGUUUUGACCUUUAAAGCCCUUCAAGGCCUAGGACCCUCAUACCUACGGGACCACCUCUCCCCAUAAGCCCCACGGAGAGCUUCAAGGUCCAUAAAUAGCAACACCCUAGUGGUCCCGGGCCCUAAGGAAGUUAGAUUGGCUUCAACCAGAGCCAGGGCCUUUUCAACACUGGCUCCGGCCUGGUGGAACGCUCUGCCUCAUGAGACCAGGGCCCUGCAGGAUCUGAUUUCUUUCCGCAGGCCCUGUAAGACAGAGUUGUUCCGCCUGGCCUUUGACUUGGAGCCAAUUUGAGUCCCUCCCCCUCUUUCUUUUUUCUUUUCCUUUCUCCUCCUGUGAUGAGGCUGCAUUUUAAUAUUUUAAUGUUUCAAUACUUUAAUGUUGUAUUUUAAUGUUGCUUUUAAGUUGUAUUCAUUCAACUUGUUUUUAUUAUUGCUUGUUAGCCGCCCUGAACCUGGCCUUGGCUCGGGAGGGCGGGGUAUAAAUAAAAAUUAUUAUUAUUAUUAUUAUUAUUAUUAUUAAAAGAAGCGUUCUACACUUCCCAGUGCAUUUUCCUGUCACUUUCCUUACUGCAUAAUGUCCAAUAUUGGGAGCAAUUGUUGUGCAAGUUCUGCCUAUCAGCUGUCACCCCACAACCUGGAUCUCCUGAUAUGUGAUUGAACCCCACACGGAAAAAGUGACCCUUCAUCACAGCUGCAUUCAGCAUGUUUUGUUUUAGGAAUUCAAGCCAUCUGACGUGAUUCUUUGACAAAAUGAUCUGCGGCACUGAAAGGAGCUAAAGUUACAGUACAGCAGCCACACACUGAAAUUUCAGAUUUCAAUCUUCGUUGUUGUAAAUAAAUCACCCA